rnacentral:rRNA from 1 species
UACAGAGGGUGCGAGCGUUAAUCGGAAUUACUGGGCGUAAAGGGUGCGUAGGUGGUUUUGUAAGUUAGAUGUGAAAGUCCUGGGCUUAACCUGGGGAUUGCGUCUGAUACUGCGAAGCUAGAGUUCUGUAGAGGAAAGUGAAAUUUCCGGUGUAGCAGUGAAAUGCGUAGAUAUCGGAAGGAACAUCAGUGGCGAAGGCGACUUUCUGGACAGGGACUGACACUGAGGCACGAAAGCGUGGGGAGCAAACAGG